CCUUCCAAAAUUAGGCCAAAAGCCCUUAGAAAUCGCGCAGCACGUGUUUCAUUAAUGAAACCACGUGCAGGGUCCUGUGCGUACGCACAGAUGGCUGAAUGGUCUUCC